AUUGAACGCUGGCGGAAUGCUUUACACAUGCAAGUCGAGCGGCAGCGCGGGGGCAACCCUGGCGGCGAGCGGCGAACGGGUGAGUAACAUAUCGGAACGUACCCAGUCGUGGGGGAUAACUAUCCGAAAGGAUAGCUAAUACCGCAUACGUCCUGAGGGAGAAAGCGGGGGAUCGCAAGACCUCGCGCGAUUGGAGCGGCCGAUAUCGGAUUAGCUAGUUGGUGGGGUAAAGGCUCACCAAGGCGACGAUCCGUAGCGGGUCUGAGAGGACGACCCGCCACACUGGAACUGAGACACAGUCCAGACUCCUACGGGAGGCAGCAGUGGGGAAUUUUGGACAAUGGGGGCAACCCUGAUCCAGCCAUUCCGCGUGAGUGAAGAAGGCCUUCGGUUGG
rnacentral:rRNA from 1 species